rnacentral:rRNA from 1 species
UACGAAGGGGGCUAGCGUUGCUCGGAAUCACUGGGCGUAAAGGGUGCGUAGGCGGGUCUUUAAGUCAGAGGUGAAAUCCUGGAGCUCAACUCCAGAACUGCCUUUGAUACUGAGGAUCUUGAGUACGGGAGAGGUGAGUGGAACUGCGAGUGUAGAGGUGAAAUUCGUAGAUAUUCGCAAGAACACCCGUGGCGAAGGCGGCUCUCUGGGACGGUACUGACGCUGAGACGCGAAAGCGUGGGGAGCGAACAGG